UACAGAGGGGGCAAGCGUUAUUCGGAAUUAUUGGGCGUAAAGGGCGCGUAGGCGGCCUGGCAAGUGGAAGGUGAAAUCCCUCGGCUUAACCGAGGAACUGCCCUCCAAACUGCUUGGCUUGAGUCCGGGAGAGGUGAGUGGAAUUCCCAGUGUAGCGGUGAAAUGCGUAGAUAUCGGGAGGAACACCUGUGGCGAAAGCGGCUCACUGGACCACAACUGACGCUGAUGCGCGAAAGCUAGGGGAGCAAACAGG
rnacentral:rRNA from 1 species